rnacentral:lncRNA from 1 species
ACCCCUUUUAAUUAAUACAAUUUGAUUCCUAGAAGCUCAAAUGAUGAGCUAAAGAUCAGAACAAAUCUUAAUCACAUGCUGGAGCAUAUGCAUAUAAACAUGAGAGUAGCUUAAACAACAGUCCAUGCAUACAUAAUACUCAAAUGUCCUGCUCCUUCAACUCUCAAACCUCAUGUUUUUCAUCUAAACAAAAUGCAACAUGAAUUUCCUAGAAAGAUUUUACACUACUACAUCAAAACGAACAAACAGGACUAAGUAGUAUUGCACUUCAAAAUUCUAAGUGAAUAAUCAACAUUCAUGAUAAAAAAACCAGUAUUCAUUUAUACAAUUUCCAGGCCAUUACAGCUUCCACAUUUGCGCCUCACAUAUAAUAGAUCCAAGGCAUACAUGGAUUCAAUCUGGUUUUAAUUUGUAGCACAUCACUUGCUAACAGUGGUUUGAAGGAAAAUACCUGGGAAUGGAAAGGCAAAGGGAAAAGGUCAGGAAUCAGCAAUAUCAAAGGCAGAAAAUCAGCACCAGCAACCAGAACAACCCAGAUUCAACCAAAAUCAGUAAUGAAUUCAAUCCACUGACUAAAAUCAUAGUAACAUCCAAGAGGAAUGUUGUUAAAAAAAACUUCAAUGUAAUUGGCCAAACUUUACAUGGACAUAAUUUCUCCUAAAUUUCCUGCUAUUUUUUAUUUUUCAAAUUUUGCUGUACUUAGCUUAUGUAUUUUUGUUCCCCUUUAGACCCCCUUUAGCUUUUUCUUUCAUUCCUUUUAUAGGCUGAAUAAUAGGACAAUCUUCAGAAUUUGUUUUUUCCCUAUAGUCCCUCAUUUUAUGACUUGGUGACCAAGUUUAUUACCAAAAACCCUGAAAUCCAGUUUGAACCCCUACACUAGAAGCUUCCUAGGCAGUUAUCACAAGAUUCUCUGUCCUAAAUUAAACUUCUAAAUUACAAACCUAGUUAAACCUAACCUCAGCCCUUUUUUACCCUGGUCAAAUAACCCUAGUUAAUUGUCCAGGGGCUGAAAUCAUUCAGCUAUAACCAAACAACUAUUCAAACUGAAUCAGCUUAAACCAAAACCCAUUUUAAUCUUAAGUAAUCCCUCUGAAUUCAAAUUAAUCUAUUAUUGGGCAAUUAUUAAUUAAGAAGGGCUCUAAGAGAAUGAGUUCAAUUAAACAAUAACACUGAAUCAUAAAUUCAUGCAAGAAACAUUCAUUGAGUCAUGCACUAAAACUAAACUCAAAAAUAGUUAUGAACUAAUACUUAAUCAAAUAAAAAUUUAAGGAAAUUAAAUGCAAACAUCGAGGAGAGGCUGAAAAAAAACGAAAGAAAAAAAAUAUUUACCAUAAUUGAAUCAAGACCUGGGCAAAUCGUGUUGAAAUUGCUUGACCAAACUAGUGUUUAAUCGUGUGUUCUCAUGAGAAAACACGCGACUAAACCCUAUAAUGACCAAACCUCCAGUCUUGAGAAAAUUAGGGUUCCAGGCUGAUCUUCGAUCUAAAAUUUGAGCCAUGGGGGGUGAUUCGAAGGCUAUGAGUUGUGGAUUCAGAAAGAGGGGCUGGAGAGGCCUUAGGGUGUUAAUUUGGUGAGGUUUGGGAGCGGCGCUGCCGUGGGCGACAGAGCUGUCGCCACUUCGAUUGAAUAUUCGACGAACUUGGGUGAUAUUCGAGGGCUACUGAUAUCAGAGGUGGAAAGAGGAGGUCAAGGAGGUGGGGUGGUGUAAAUUAGGGGCCAUUAGAGCAUCACCACCAGCGGUGGCGAUUUCCGGCCGUUGUCAUUAGGCGGAGGAGCGGCGGAUGCAGUGGUGUGUCAAGAGACAAG